AUUGAACGCUGGCGGCAGGCCUAACACAUGCAAGUCGAGCGGAUGAAGGGAGCUUGCUCUUGGAUUCAGCGGCGGACGGGUGAGUAAUGCCUAGGAAUCUGCCUGGUAGUGGGGGACAACGUUUCGAAAGGAACGCUAAUACCGCAUACGUCCUACGGGAGAAAGCAGGGGACCUUCGGGCCUCGCGCUAUCAGAUGAGCCUAGGUCGGAUUAGCUAGUUGGUGAGGUAAUGGCUCACCAAGGCGACGAUCCGUAACUGGUCUGAGAGGAUGAUCAGUCACACUGGAACUGAGACACGGUCCAGACUCCUGCGGGAGGCAGCAGUGGGGAAUAUUGGACAAUGGGCGAAAGCCUGAUCCAGCCAUGCCGCGUGUGUGAAGAAGGUCUUCGGAUUGUAAAGCACUUUAAGUUGGGAGGAAGGGUUGUAGAUUAAUACUCUGCAAUUUUGACGUUACCGACAGAAUAAGCACCGGCUAACUCUGUGCCAGCAGCCGCCGUAACAC
rnacentral:rRNA from 1 species